GCCCUUAGAGUUUGAUCAUGGCUCAGGACGAACGCUGGCGGCGGGCCUAACACAUGCAAGUCGCAGGGGAUUCACCGAGCCUGGCUUGGUGAUGAGACUGGCGAACGGGUGCGUAACACGUUAACAAUCUGCCUGCAGGCGGGGGAUAACUCCGGGAAACCGGGGCUAAUACCGCAUGAUGCAGCGGGGCCGCAUGGUCACAGUUGUUAAAGCCCUUCGGGGCGCCUGCAGAUGAGUUUGCGUCGCAUUAGUUAGUUGGUGGGGUAAUGGCCUACCAAGACGAUGAUGCGUAGGGGUUCUGAGAGGAUGAUCCCCCACACUGGCACUGAGACACGGGCCAGACUCCUACGGGAGGCAGCAGUGAGGAAUAUUGCGCAAUGGGCGAAAGCCUGACGCAGCCACGCCGCGUGCCGGAAGAAGGUUCUUUGAAUCGUAAACGGCUUUUGUCGGGGAAGAAAGGCCUGGUUUCGACCGGGUUUGACGGUACCUGGUGAAUAAGCACCGGCUAACUCCGUGCCAGCAGCCGCGGUAAUACGGAGGGUGCAAGCGUUGUCCGGAAUCAUUGGGUGUAAAGGGUGCGUAGGCGGAAGCUUAAGUCUGUGGUGAAAGGUGCCGCUCACGGCAAGA
rnacentral:rRNA from 1 species